rnacentral:rRNA from 1 species
AAGGGACCUAGCGUAGUUCGGAAUUACUGGGCUUAAAGAGUUCGUAGGUGGUUGAAAUAGUUGGUGGUGAAAUCCCAGAGCUCAACUCUGGAACUGCCAUCAAAACUUUUCAGCUAGAGUAUGAUAGAGGAAAGCAGAAUUUCUAGUGUAGAGGUGAAAUUCGUAGAUAUUAGAAAGAAUACCAAUUGCGAAGGCAGCUUUCUGGAUCAUUACUGACACUGAGGAACGAAAGCAUGGGUAGCGAAGAGGAUUAGAUACCCUCGUAGUCCAUGCCGUAAACGAUGUGUGUUAGACGUUGGAAAUUUAUUUUCAGUGUCGCAGGGAAACCGAUAAACACACCGCCUGGGGAGUACGACCGCAAGGUUAAAACUCAAAUGAAUUGACGGGGACCCGCACAAGUAGUGGAGCAUGUGGUUUAAUUCGAAGAUACGCGCAGAACCUUACCAACACUUGACAUGUUCGUCGCGACUCUAAGAGAUUAGAGUUUUCGGUUCGGCCGGACGAAACACAGGUGCUGCAUGGCUGUCGUCAGCUCGUGUCGUGAGAUGUUGGGUUAAGUCCCGCAACGAGCGCAACCCUCACUUUUAGUUGCCAUCAUUAAGUUGGGCACUCUGAAAGAACUGCCAGUGAUAAGCUGGAGGAAGGUGGGGAUGACGUCAAGUCCUCAUGGCCCUUACGUGUUGGGCUACACACGUGCUACAAUGGUAUCUACAACAGGAAGCAAGACUGCGAAGUUAAGCAAAUCCCUAAAAGAUACCUCAGUUCGGAUUGCACUCUGCAACUCGAGUGCAUGAAGCUGGAAUUACUAGUAAUCGUGGAUCAGCGUGCCACGGUGAAUGCGUUCCCGGGUCUUGUACACACCGCCCGUCACACCAUGGGAGUUGGUUCUACCUUAAGGCAAGGUUUCAAACCCUUGACCACGGUAUAGUCAGCGACUGGGGUG